UUGUGGUGAGAAGGAAAACUCUCUGGACAAGUGGCAUUUCUAGUCCUCUAACAGCCACUGGACUGGCUGAUGGCGGGGAGGAGGCUGUGGCUAAACAGAUGUGUGAGGACUGGUCCCUCUAGAAACCUUGCACCAAAGUGGGCAGCAGGAAGGAACUGAUGGCAUCGUUCCCUCUGUGAACAAGCCCUGCAGAAUGGCCUCAGGUGUUAAGGCUCCCCUGGGCACCAGGAGCAUGAAGCACAGACUCAUAGGGUUUGGCUAAUGGGACUCCUUCCAUCAAGUUCUCCAUUGCCUGUGGAGCAGCAGCAUGCUGUUGUGGAGGAAGUCUCUUUAGAAAUUCCAUUUAGGAGAUGCACUGGAGAUAUUGGCUCACAGAAGUUGAGCUGAGUGGGUGGCUGCUCCUGCCAACGGAGCUCCAUGCAGAAACACAGCUGUGCUGAACAGCUCCCAGUCAAACAACAGGGAAGUGUCACAUCAACUCCAGCCUCUUAUCUUGUGCACAAGAACAUGAGAAAAGUAGCAAUGUGUGCACUUUGAUUUACAUCAUGUGGAUCUCCUGAACCAAAAGCCUGCAGAACUGAAGGUGCUGAUUGUGCAGGGCUGUGGCUAUGAGGAGCUCACAGGUUGGUCGUGCCAGCAGGCUUCUGCCUGCUGCUUUGAUCCCCUACCACCUGCUGAGACGGAUGUAAACCACUGACACGUUUCCAUGGGUACCCGUUUGUAAUGCUGCUCUUGGGUAGGAUUCAGGGUUUGUCUCUCCCAAAGUCUGAAGCUUUUCAGUAGCUAUUGUGAAGGAUUUGUGCUGUUACCUGCCCACACCAGGGCAGGUGGGGUGUGCUGCUCGCUCUUCUCUUUCCAUUCAGAGAAGUGCUGACAUGGCACAGCAGGUGCCAUGUGAAGAGAUCCGAGCUUUCCGCCAGUUGCCCACUGAGCUCCGCAGCGGUUCGAGCUUCUUGAGAGGUUCAUUUAACUCAUAAGGAGUACUGCAUUUGCACUUAUGCUGCUUCGGGUAUCUAAGCUAGUUUCUGAGAAGUACCUACCUAGAGCGUUCACACUCCUGCUGCCGUGUGAUGCCUCUCCCAGGGCCAAUGUGAUGCCUGAGCCUGAACACCUUGAAGUACAAAAAGCACGUCUUUGAGGGAAAAUAAUUGCUAUUUCCAUCCAGACAGGAUCUGCAGGAACCAGGGCUGAGCCAGGCUCCAUCUACCCAGAGCCCUGCGUAUCAAGCAGACAGGGCACUGCCCUCAAGACAGGAUGUUUGCUGCUCUCUGAGGGCAAACACCAGAGAGGUGGCUGUGGGGAGACUCCCGCAAACUCACCUCCAGCUCUUCACAGCCAGGCUGCUCACAGCCGCGCCAUCACCACUGCUGCAGGGGGUUCUUCCCAUGUGCGGUAACACAACUUGUCUCUGAGAGACUGUGUUUGCUUUUGGUUGUAGCCAGUACCCCAGAGAGUAGCUCCAGGCUGGGCUUGCUCUUUGGUGCUCAGCCAUCCCAUUCAUCCAUCAGUGGGGAGCUGCCCAUCUCUUAUCACUGAAUUUGGGCUUAGAGCUCCUUGACAGAAAAUAGGAAGGUUAUUUUACAUGUGGAGGAAUUUAUUAAGCCUGGACCUGGAUCUCAUUUUUAUGCAAUGCAAAUGAGUAAUAACAAGCCUUCUUCAUUACCAGCUGAGCGCUUGGGCCAUGGCUAUUAAAUCCCCACCUCCCUUCAGUCUGUUUCUAUCAGACUGCCACAUUAAGCCGCAACCUCAUCGGAAUUCAUAAAGCCAGCCCAGACUUGUGUUGGGAUCUGAGCCUGCAAAAUUAAAACUCGAGUAGCAGAACACAAUAUUUCUUUGGCUAUUGAGAGGAGCAAGCCGGGAUAUUUUGGGGCAUGGUGUGUUGAAUGAGGCAUGACAUCACCGUGAUUACUUGUGAUAAUGAAACAUUUCACAACAGCCAUAUGGUGAGGGAAAAAAAAUAAGGGUUCAUUUAUCUCACUGCUCUGAUCUGGUGACAUAACACUGACAUAAUGGGCAGAACCAUCCUGGGUUUUGUAGUCCAGGAGUGAUUUGCAUCACACAGCGCUGACUGUAUGCCUUGGGGGUGGCUGCAGAGGAGCACCCAGCUGUGUGCAGUCCACCAAGCUGCCUAGGACGUGCCUGGAAGGACAGCGCUGCAUCCAGACCUUUGCACAUGUGAGACCAAUGUUGAUUCUUUGCAGAUCUUUCAUCUAGUUGGAAUUCUGCUUGGUAGCUGAGUGUUAACACUAGAACUUUAAAAAUAUUAAUGGCCUUUCUUUACAUAAAAUGCAAAGAGCAGGGAACUGCCUAAGGGAGCAGCGGUGAUUCCGACCUCUUUUUAUAUGGGAAUCCCUUUCUACCAGGAGACCUGCCUUCAGUUCAGGCUUUCCAACAGCAGAUUUGUUCCAAAACACAGCUUCUCCCUCAAGCAAGCUGACCGCAGCCCUCCUGCAGGAGCCCUGGCUGCUCCAACCAGGCAGAGCUGGCUCCAGAUGGCAGAGCCCCAAAGCUCCUUGCCCCAGUCCUGAUGUCCCAGUGAGACCCCAAGCAGGGAAAGACUUCUGGUCUCUUCCCCUUAAAGUGUCCUGCUUUUUGUGGGGAAAAUAAGUACUUGGUAAAGCAAUGAAAGGAAAAGGUCCCAUGACUCUCUGUUGCAGGUUCUAACUCAUUUGUCUGGGAGUACUGAGUGUCAGUGAUGGUUAUGGAUUUUACACCAUGCUCCCCCUUGAGUGAUUUCACUCCUCGGAGACUCACUCUCAAAUACUGAGUCGAGUCCUGAAGGUGAGAAAGGCAAGAGGAACCCCUUAUCUGUGGAUUCGGAUGGCAUUUUGUGUAGGCUGAGCACCAACUGUUCAGCCUCUUGUGGAUCCUGCUCUGCUGGUCUGCAGCGCCGUGUGCUGAGCGAAGAAAUGCAUAUCCCAGGGAGCUCCUCAGAGAUUUGGUGGAAUGAAAGGAGGAUGUAAAAGGCUGUGAGCUGCCUUUUCUUUGCAGGCGAAAGCUAUCAGCGCUUUACCUGGAGCAGUUCCAGAAACUGUAAUUAUGCUUUUGUGUAUGAAAGGAGAAGUGUGUUUGUACCUGACCUGGUGUCUGGGGAGACGAGAUGUUCUGUCUUGGGAUAUUGUCACCCUGGGGCUGAGCUGCCUGCACACAGCUGUCACAGGGUGCAGAUUUCCCCUGCAGUGUGGUCACAGUGAUCUGACAUUAUUCAUCCAAGUCUAUGGCAGUCUUUUCUGCUUUCAUUGCCUUUGGGUCAGGCUCCUGCUGGUCAAACAGUGCUAAUGCUGGUAGGACAGAUUCUUCAGACCUCAGCCUGUAAUUUCAGUACUAUUGCAUUACCUUUAAAAGAACCAAAAAGUUUCCCAGCGAGACACAGGUUAUUUAGAUAGAAGGUGAUGACUUGUACUAAAGUCUUCUGAACUCCCGAGCAACCUUUUGCUGACAUCCCUGGCGCUGACAGGCUGCAAAGCAGAGAUGGCCAUGCAGAGCAUCUUUGCCACGGCGAAGUCCUCACCAAGAACCGUGGGCAGGGUCUGGGUACAACCUGGAAUUGCAGGUUGGCUACUAGAUUAUGACAUGCGAUGUGACUGAACUAACUUCCCCCGGCGUCAUAGCCUGAAAUAAACUGAUUUGAAGCAACGCGUGGCUCGCUUCGAGGACGGGUAUUAGAGCCGUGCGGGCGCUGAAAUGUCACCCAACGCCCUGGCGCGGCCGUGGGCCAUUCCCUGCUGCGCAGCGACACCUACAGGGAGGGACCCGCACAUCACCGAGCUCUGCAUGGGACUUGCUGUCCUAAAACUCAGCGCUGGGGAGGCUUAGCAGGUAGUGUGAAAGGAAAUAUCCUCUGUGCCGUUAUGCAUUUGGUUUUAUUAAUAUAUAUAUAUAUAAGAGAUGAAAGAAUGUAAUAUUUGAAUGUAUAACUUAGGAAAAGGGCUAAGGAAGUCAACAUGUGAACUCCGGGCUUCCCAAAGAGACUGGUGGAAACCAAUAUGAUCAAGCACCAAUUGCCUUCAAGUAAGGCAAAAGCAACUGCAUCCCGGGUGCAGCUGACAGUAUCUGCUGGUGCUGUGCCUUCAGAGGCGGUUCAACAGCCAUAGAGCUCAAGUACGUGAAUUUAAGACUCAGAGUUUGCCUUCACAUCACCCUAGCUGCUUCUCCCUGAGCCAUCACCCCCUGCAGUUUUGUACCCUGUGCAGGCAGUGUAGCUUUAUAUGUGCAUAUUUCUUUGCAGUUACAGAGAAUUGCCAGUGUGUCCGUUUCAGUUUUUAAUGUGGGCGCUGACCUUAAUCACAGCCCCUGAGCAGUGCUGGCUGGAAGGGAGCUCUGGCCCCCACUCCAGCUCCAAGCAGGAUCACCACUAGCACAAGCCCAGCUCAGCUGCAGCUUUACCAUGCUGAGUCUUGAAAACAUCUAAGAACGAAGAUUUCACCAUGGCUCUUAGGGCAACCCAUGAUGCAUAACCGCUGCCAGUGAAGAAUAUUACGCCUUGGAGCUGACUCAGUCCCCAGGGAUGUUUAACAGCAGUUCUUAUGUUGUAGCCAGCCAACAGAUUUGAGCUAUUAGCAUUAACACCAACAAUUGCUGCGUUACCCUCCACCUUUCCCUUUUUCGCUUUGCUUCCAUAAGCUGUUAGUCAUUACUCCCCAGGCCACUUCCAGAGGUGUCCUCCUGCUCCUCUUCAGCUGCAGCUCUUCAGUCCAAUAGCAGCAAUAUUUGCUAGUUUGUGAGAGAUGAUGUGAGAUGGGAGAGAUCAUUGUUUUGCCAGAACACCGUGAUCCUUAACCGAGCUCCCUGAAAAGCCCAGGUACAUCAUAAUGCUAUCAAUUUCUCACUGUAUCAGAUUAAUUUUGAGCGGGAACUGCUCAACUGAAGGAGACCGUACCAGCAAAAAGCAUGUUUAUUUUUCCUCUGUGUGCAGCAGUGACCGUGUCUUCAUACAAGACUUCAUGCAAUGCCCAUCAAAGGCCAAAUCCCUACUAACCUCAGCAGACACAUUAGCAAGCAGAGCAAGGGAAACACCUCCCUGCAACAAAGCAGCAUAAGACUCAAUGAAAUGUGAGUAUUAUUUAUUUAGAAAAUAAUUGCCCUAUCAUUGGCGGGCAUCAGUGAAACAGAAGCAUCUGUCAUGUAGCCUUGGGCUACUGCUGAGCUGAGGCUCACACUGCUGCGUGCUGUACACGGUGUACCCUCAUGUACUAUUCGUUUCAGCCCCUGCAGCCUCCAAGCUUAACUGGCACACAGUGAUUCUUCUUGGAAGCUUUUUGUAUUUUACAAUUUCUAAUCUGUUUAAUUCCUUACUUUAAUGAUUGCUUGUCAUUUUUACCAAGAGGGGUUGAAAGAGACAUUUGACACCGCACCAAGUGGAGAACUACUUGUGGGCUACUUCUGCUACUUAACAUGUCAGUUCAGCCGCAUAUCAGGGAGAAGGAGAGCAGUCUUAGAUUGGUGAAAUGCUUGACAGAGGGACCUGAUGGAGAAACCAGGAGCUGUGCUCUCAUUGAGUUACAAGCAGGCCAUUGUGGCCUCAGCAUUGUUCCUUCACCUGAAAGACAAACCGAGGCUCUGGCUGGACACAAAUAUCUUGUGGGCAGCAUUUCAGCGUACCAGAAGUCUCGUGGUUCACCUGAAGUCAGACAGUACUCUCAGAGUCUCAGAAGUACGCAGCUAAAUAUGUUGAGGUCUAACUGCUCCACUAAGGCCUUCUCAGAAUCUCUACUCUCUACUGCCAAUGGCUCACGGUGCUUGAGCAAAGAUUUCCCAAGCUGUUCAUGAAAGGAUGUUAUGAGGUCAGCCAGGAUCUGGCUGGAGUCUGAAACCUUUGGAUUCUAAAACUCAUUUUGAAGGAAUUUUGGACUUUAAGAGCUUUUCCUAACCAAAAUGAGCACUAUAUUUUAUCAGCUGGAUUAUAUUCAGAAUGGAGAAUUUGCAUUCAUGUCUCUCAGCAGGCUUUGGAAGUACUUUAACCCCAUGUAAGGCAACCUGUUGAUCACAGCCUGAACCUCUGAUUAACCAUCUAAGGCAAGUGAUGGGUCAGCUGCAGGAGCACAGGUGAAGGUAAUUCAGCUGAGCUCCCAGAAGGGGUUGAGUUUGACUCCACGUCUCCUAGAUCCCAUUUAAGGGCUGACCACCAUUAAGGUAGUAUCUCUUUUUGGAGAUUGUUCCUGUGUGGAGUUUUUGUGGCAAGCUUUGAAACUGUAUCAGUCUUGGAGCCAAAGGGGUAUGUUUUACACUUCUGAAGAAGUCACUGAAGAUCUGGACUCUUCCUGCUGCUUCUGUGCUCCCCUGUAAGCAAGAUGUGACUGUAAGCCUACCACAGAAGCUGCCUUUUGAAGUGAAAGGGCUGUUGUCCCACAGCAGCACAGCAUGGGCAGAGCUAACAGGCAUGGAGCCUUACAGUUCCCAUUGCAUAAAAUAACAUCCUUUUUAUGAGCAGACAUUAUUCAAGCUGUAAGUCACACACACUUCCAGCACUAUAAAACACAGCUCUAGAACUGGCCAGGAAACAGCUGCUUUUUCCAGUUUGUUUGCAUUUGUAGAUGGGGGAUUCCACUUAAUGUUUGUCACAGCACCCUCUGCUUUUCAUGUUGACAGAUCCCUCCUCCCCGCCGCUACCAGUGCACUCCAGCCCUGGCUUCAUCCUGCUCUGUCUAAUGGUGCAUGUGCCAACCUCAAAACUUGCUCUGCUGGUACAAGGAAUUGCCAUGGAUGUAUUUAUUCCAGCCAGCAUCUUGCUUCCAGUGGUGCUUGCAAACACUGCAAGAAAACACAGCCUUUUCUACGUCACCUGCUGGGAGCUGAUGCUGCUCAGCUGUGUAUGCCGGGUGCCUGCAGAGUGCUGGCUGCUGCAGCCUAAACCUGCUCCAGGGCCAGCUGGCAAGGAAAUAAUGGGGAUGAUGGCAGGGAGGGCUUUUGCCUGUGCCUUGCAAAUAAUUGGUUUUCUGGUAAAGGGGCAGGGAAAUUUCCCGGAGAAUCAGACAGUGAAGAUAAAACUAAUACAGGAUAAACACAGAUGGCUGGGUUGUUGCUUUAUGCCUCUGCAGUUGGAUAUGGAGGUAGAAAAGUCUCCAGUUGUUGAUGCUUUUUUUUUUUUUCUGGGCACUUAGAGUGUCUCAGUUAUACUGUUUUGGCUGGAUUCUUUUUUUUUUCUUGGGAAUCAUAUGAAUUACCUAGAAAAAUAAUCUCCUCUUUGUGAUAAAGCCCUUCUGGCAAAGGUGGAAAGCAGCUUGUAUUCUGUUUCAGCUCAAGCCUGUGAGACAAAUCUACAACUUUGAUUGUAUAGUCAAUAUUGCCUAGGCAGCACUAUAAAAUGUCACAUACUGGCCUAGUUCCUGUAAUAUGUAAGACCAAUUCCAUUUGCCAGAACAGACAGAGGGAAUUUCUUCCUCUUCACUCAAGUUCAUUAUCUACAGUUUCACUUGUAAUUGGUAAGUAUGGGUUGAUUUAUAUCAGCUGUGGGAAUGGAGCCUUUCCCACUCUUAGUGUAGGGCCUCAGGUAUUUCACAAUGGGUGUGGAAGGCAGCCAUUUCUGUCAGUAGCUCUAUGUUGUCUCUGAAAAAUGACAGCAAUUAUAGCAGGAGGUGGAAAUUAGCCUGGAAGACUUCUAACCUCCAUUAGCUAGUAAGACUAUCUUAGCUCUUUACUCUGACUUAUCCUAGAAACAGGCAACAAGGUUAUAACAGAAACUAUACUCCUAUAAAGCCCAUAUAAACAGUUUCUUUGUUAAACCACAGCAUUAGUGAUAGUCUGGUUCUAAAUCCACAAAGCUGGUGCUCAAGUCUGCAAUGUGGUCUAUGCUUUCCUUUGAGAAGCUGGACUUUUGGACUGGAGUAUCACAAAGAAACAACUCUUUCUUCCUGGGGUGCAGAAGUUCAAAAACAGAAUAUUUGCAGUACUGCUGGAACCGUAAUAACAUAAAGAAAAUGAAAGGGUUUGGUAGGAAGAGAUAACAGCUUCACAUAGAUCAACUGGCAUCGCUAGAAAAAAAGGGAUACUGUUCUGGCACAGAAGCCUUCAUUAUGUAGCAAGAGACUGACAGCCCCUAGAAUAAUCAGUUUGUUUUCUCAAGUCUAUCAGAUGCUGUAAUAAAAAUGUUAUCAUGCCUUACAAACACCAGCUCUCUACAUAGGAAUUUUCCCUCUGUACUUCAGAUCCAGUCACAAACAUUAUGUAUCUUUCCCCCAGCCAUGGCAAACCAUGACCUGAAAUAAAGCUGUGUCUCACACCUGCCCUUCUACAUCAGUGCCUCUGGGGCUACUCCAUAACCCUGUAACAUACAUUUGCUACAUCUGAUUAAGUGGUUAAUAGCCUCAAGGAAGGCUCUACUCAGUAUUGCUUGCUUGAUGCUAGGAAAUGUCAUUUCAAAAGCUGGAUCCCAGGGAUUACUUGGCAUUUCUGCAGGAUCAGCCCUUCUAAGUUGUGU